rnacentral:miRNA from 1 species
UACAGUCUGCAUGUGCCUAGG